UGGGCCAACGGUCCAUGGGCCACGCGAACAGGGGAAGCCGAAUCGUCGCGUGUUUAUAUAAAAUAUAAAAAAAUCAAUGAGCAGGGGAAAAGGUACGAAAAAGAAAAAAAAAUAAAAGAGACGCAGAAGUAACCCAUCUCCUCAGAAGCAAAUCCACCGCCGCCUCCGCAUUGCCGUCGCCUCCUCCGCCUCUACUUCCAUUCCACGUCGCCGGCGAAGUCCAUCCACGCCGUUGCUUUCUCCUCUCCUCCUCCGGCGUCUCUUCCUCGCACAGUCCACCGCCUCCUCGCCUCCACCGCACCCCUCCUACUCGCUUUCUCAUCCCCAUCCCCAUCCCAAUCACAGCUUCAGAAAAAGCGGGACAAAGAUAAAUCGGAUCACAGCUAAAUAGUUUGGAGAAUACACUUGGUUUCUUGCCCUGCGUCAGUCUGUUGGGCAAAUAUGUGAAUCAAGGACACAAUUAAAUUUGAAGAUCUACAUAUCUGCACCGAUGGUUCAAAAAUGGCUGUAAAUCAGUAACACUUUUGUCAAAAUAAUCCUGUUCACUUUAAUUUUUUUCCCUUCUGAGUUCUGAAGCUGAAAGCCAAGCAAACAGCUCAUGGUCACUAUAUUAUUGGUUCUCGUGUCCAUGAGGCCUGAGGACACCUUAACCUUAACCUAUUAAUUAACAACAAAGUUUUAGUUCUACUCUACAAUUAGCCUAUGUAAUUAGUACAACACUAGGUACUGAAUGCUACAGUUUCUAACUCUGCAUUUACCCUAUGUAAUGUCAAUCAUAUAUUGCAGACUGUUUAUGCACAUGUCAAGAUUAUAGCGUGAAUUUGACAGCCGAAAUGUAAAUGACUGCAUCUGCCCAUCUCUAAUUUUUAUCUAGAGACUAAUAUGACAAUCCACUAGCCUACAAAAUCUAGGGAGCAUUGCACAUAAAUAUAUCACCUUUUUCAUAGCUAAAUGUUUUUUUUUCAUAUUUGACUGUGUCUACGUGUACUGUCAUCACACCUGCUACAAGUCUGAUGACAGAUUCAUCGAUAUGAACAAGCUCAAGGCCUCCAUUUCUGGUGGUUAGCUUUGAUUAAUUGUAUUUGCAUUGCACCUGUUCUGUAUCACUGCAUGUGUAUAACUCAAGACAGUGUGCCAGCUGAAGUUUUGUGAUCAUUUUCUAGAGGUUAUUGGCUAUUUUGCUUUCCUGAUUAACACAAUUUUAUUUGUACUGUCAUUGUUAGAUGGAGGUUCUUCAAGAAUUAUAAUUUCUCUCUUUGAUUUUUAGAAUUAAAACAUUUUAACUAUUUCAAUAGGUCAAAUUAAAUAUGUUUACAACUGUAGUUAUAACAGAAACUUCACACAAAUUCCAUUUCAUAAUACAAGAGUAUGAAUGCAUCUGAAACACCUUGAUGUCAUCAUGAUAAAAAGCAUAAUUUCCCCCCUUAAUGAACUGACAAGAAUCACUGACAGGUUGUUGUUUAAUACUCUGUAGAAGUGUAGAGUAAUGAAUAUUUAGUUUUGUAAUUGGAAGAGAGAAUGUAGUAUGCUCCGUAAAAUAUUGAACAUUCACGCUUGAGCAUAGUAUUUGAGCCUUGAGCGAGAAACAUUGGAUUGUUAUUAACAGGUCCUAUGAUUCCGCAAAAAAAAAAA